AUCCAUUUAUCGGAGAGUUUGAUCCUGGCUCAGGACGAACGCUGGCGGCGUGCCUAAUACAUGC
rnacentral:rRNA from 2 species